rnacentral:lncRNA from 1 species
GCAGCACUGGUGGAACUUGAGGUGUACACACACAGUUACGCUUCAUGGAGUUGCAUCCAGCCAAGUAUCCAUGUUCUUCUUGUGAAGAGGCAGAGAAAAUCACCUCUCCCAAGAAUUUCCACCUUCUGAACAAGGGAAAUGUAUCCUGAAGAGCCGUACAUAGAUGGGAGGCAACUUGUUUGCUUGUUCUGCUGCUGGAGCAUUGAUUUAAUUAGAAGACAGGCUGUGGGUGGCCAUGUGCACACAGAGAAGCACCAGACAGAGCCCGUUUAGCCUGGGACAGUAAGAAUCUGUUUGAGAAGAUGGUUCCUGUGUGAGUGCGGCAGUCUUUGGCUGCCUGUGAUCAGAGGAAAGCUGAUUUGUUAACAGAUCAAUUGCUCAGAUGAGAGAAGCCACCACUUUGGCAAAUGGGGUGCUAGCUUCCCUUAAUCUUCCAGCAGCAAUUGAAGAUGUGUCUGGAGACACUGUACCUCAGUCUAUAUUGACUAAAUCCAGAUCUGUGAUUGAACAGGGAGGCAUCCAGACUGUUGACCAGUUGAUUAAAGAACUGCCUGAAUUACUGCAAUGAAAUAGAGAAAUCCUAGAUGAGUCAUUAAGGUUGUUGGAUGAAGAAGAAGCAACCGAUAAUGAUUUAUGAGCAAAAUUUAAGGAACGCUGGCAAAGGACAUCAUCCAAUGAACUGUAUAAGCCUUUAAGAGCAGAGGGAACCAGCUUCAGAACAGUUUUAGAUAAAGCUGUGCAAGCAGAUGGACAAGUGAAAGAAUGUUACCCAUCUCAUCGUGACCCCAUCGUGCUUUUGUGUAAGCCAGAGCCUGAGCUGAAUGCUGCCAUCGCUUCUGCUAAUCCAGCAAAGACCAUGCAGG